AUUAGAAUAAUGGUCUAUUGAUUUGUUAAUUAUUUCGUUUAAUUUCUUACCAUUACUUAAUUGUUAUUGUUCUUUAUUAAUUUUAACCUGAGUCGUUUUGUUUAACCGUUUCUCUAUUUUAAGUUUCAUUUUAUUUUCUCUCAAGUUUGUUCUUUUUGUUCCUUAAAGAAAGUGUAACAAUUUGUUUUCCAAAAAGUUGACAUGAUUGGGGCUAAUUAAUAGGGCUUUGAUUUAAUUGUGAAGAAGAGUUAAUAUUACUUCAGACAUACUGGUGGUUACCUGAUCUUCUUAAGAGCUAAUUCAACGUCAACAUGGUUCAGAUUUGAUGUACUAAUUGUUGAAUGUUCAGAAGUGAUUCCAGUUGGUUCCAUUGAUCGGUUGAGGAGGCGACGGAAAGCAUUUCGAUAUUGUGGAUUCAUGAUGAAAUAAAUUAUCGGAUUAACGGAGGCGCUAAACAACACCAACCAAAGAGAGAGUAUGUAAAGAUUAAUGAAUUAAAUUGUUCAAUCCAUCAAUCAAAUUAAUACUGGAAACGUUUUGCUUUUCUGCUGUUAUAAUUUGGAUCACCAGAAGUGAAUCUGAUAAACGUUAAUCCCGAUGUUUACCCAUUGGAUUAAAGAUUAAGUCACAUUUAAUUGAAUAACAGUAACAAUUAGUUGUAACAGCAACAAUUAAAUAGGAAAUAAUUAUUUUCUUUUCCAACUACAAUGAGAUAGAAUUGGUGAUAAAAAUCAAUCAUGAUGAUGAUUAAAUAUAAUUUCUUACCUCGUUG